UGAGUAAUGCGUGACCAACCUGCCCCAUGCUCCAGAAUAGCUCUUGGAAACGGGUGGUAAUGCUGGAUGCUCCAACUUGACGCAUGUCUUGUUGGGAAAGUGUUUAGUGGCAUGGGAUGGGGUCGCGUCCUAUCAGCUUGUAGGCGGGGUAAUGGCCCACCUAGGCUUCGACGGGUAGCCGGCCUGAGAGGGCGGACGGCCACAUUGGGACUGAGAUACGGCCCAGACUCCUACGGGAGGCAGCAGC
rnacentral:rRNA from 1 species